GACGGGGGCGCGCAGCAGCCUCCGCUCGCCCGCCUGUGCUGACCUGCCUCACUUGCCCCCGAAGAAUGUCAGCCAAGUCCAAGGGGACCCCCUCCUCGUCCUCUCCAGCCGAGGGACCGCCCGCAGCCUCCAAGACCAAGGUGAAGGAGCAGAUCAAGAUCAUCGUGGAGGAUCUGGAGUUAGUCCUGGGCGACCUGAAGGACGUGGCCAAGGAACUUAAGGAGGUGGUUGACCAGAUCGACACCCUGACCUCUGACCUACAGCUGGAGGAUGAGAUGACUGACAGCUCCAAAACCGACACCCUGAACAGCAGCUCCAGCGGCACCACAGCCUCCAGCAUAGAGAAGAUCAAAGUGCAGGCCAACGCCCCUCUCAUUAAACCCCCUGCCCACCCUUCCGCCAUCCUCACCGUCCUGAGAAAGCCAAAUCCUCCACCACCGCCUCCACGGUUAACACCUGUGAAGUGUGAAGACCCCCAAAGGGUGGUGCCCACGGUCCAUCCCGUGAAGACCAACGGCACCCUUCUGCGAAACGGAGGCUUACCCGGAGCACCAAGCAAAGUUCCCAAUGGAGACCUCUGCUGCGUACCCAGCAGUACCUUGGACAAGGCUCCCGUGCAGCCUCUGAUGCACAGACCUGAGAAAGACAGGUGUCCCCAGGUGGGGCCCCGGGAACGCGUCCGGUUCAAUGAAAAGGUGCAGUACCAUGGCUACUGUCCCGACUGUGACACCCGGUAUCACGUGAAAGGCAGGGAGGGGCACCUGCACAGCGAGCCUGGCUUCCCGCCCGGAAAGCUCCCUCACCAAGGCCCGCCCCUCCCGCCACCCCCCCAUCUCCCACCUUUUCCACUAGAAAAUGGGGGACUGGGAAUAAGCCACAGUAACAGCUUCCCUCCUCUCAGACCUGCAACUGUGCCUCCGCCUACUGCACCCAAACCACAGAAGACGAUCUUGAGGAAAUCAACCACCACAACAGUGUGAUGUAUGCCAUUUUUAAAAACUUUUUGUUUUUUUUUUUAAUUUCUAUAUUAUAAACAUAAAAUGAUAAGUAAUGAGCACUUUCUACUCAAGCAAUAAAAAGCCCAAAUAUAUUAAUCCUGCAUUCAGCAAAGUGGCAUAAAAAUCGCCUGCUCCUUCAGGUUGGAAGGAGUAUCCUUAUUUGGAGGCAUGUCAGCUCGAUUUUUCACACUUCAGAUUCUUCAUUAUGACUUCUUGAGGCCAAACCUAAUUUUGAAGUAACCAGGAAGUAAUUUUGAAGGAACUGGUCAUGUCAGCAGCAAAUCCCUCAAUUUUGGAGCACAAGUGAUCACUGGUAGGAUCUGCAUACCAUCAUCUUCCUCUUGUCUGACAGCCAUGAGCAGAGCCCUGGGGGCGAAAGAAGCCACAGCCUUAAAUAUUUUCACUCAGAAUUACCAAGAAGAUAAAAAUAAAUAAAUUGAUACGCAAAAAGGACUAAAGAUGCAAACCAACAAAGAAAUCAGACUAAACCAAACCCAUUGUAUUUCACCCUGGAAAUAAAUAUCCUCAGAUGUGAACCCAAGAAGAUUUCUAUUCAAGCAAGUAAAUUAUAAAUUGAUUUAUUAUUUGGAAAGGUGAAAGUUGAGAGGUAGGAAGUAUCUCUAGCCAGAAUUACUCACAUUUCAAAAUCUAUAUGUAGACAACAAAGAAAACUGAAGAAGCAGAGGAGCAUUGCAGCAGCAAAUAGCAUUUGGAGAGAAGAGAGGGUGUUUGGCACCUCGUGUCCACCCUCAUAGCCAUAGUGGAUUUACAGCAUUUGUCAUCAAUUGCUUGGAAUGUUCUACAUUCAACCCUUCACCCCAUAGUGGUUGAGAGAGGGAGGAGGUCGGUUCUUACUGAUUACUUCUCAAUGCACUUCUAAUAUUUGCACUGUCACUUCCAUUCAGGGUAAUGAUAUGUGCUGUUAUUUGCACAGAUGGUCCCAUGAGUUUUGAGACCACAAGGGUUUUCUUGCAGGAAUCCAAAAAGGAAACAUUGAAUUCUCCAGACAUUGAUUCUUUUUCUUCUGUAACAUCAGUUAUCUAAUAAAAAAAAAAUGGAUUUGUCUGAUUAAAAAAAAAGCUACAAAAUAAUGAUGAAAAAACAUCAGUGUGGUCAAAUGAAUGAAAAAGGGAUCAAGAGUUUUUUAAUGAAGAUCAUUUUAUAUCAUUAAACAGCCAAGAAGUCAAAUACAGCAAACUGUACACUAAACAUUUGUGUUGAACAUCUAUUUGUUCCCUUAAUUAAGAAAAAUCAUUUGUAAUUUGUAUUUGACAUAUAACAGUUUUUUAUAGCCAUUUAUCUAUGCUUCAUGGGAAAUGUACCAGGCAAACAAACAGCAUUUUCAGUUUAUUUUUCUAAAUAAAUGUGUUGUUUGUAUUAUUUGUAGUGGCUUAUUGGAUUUGAUUUUCAUUACUUGGAAGAUAAAUUUCCUAUGGUUCAUUGACAAGCUUUUGUCAUUAAUUCAGAUAUAAUGGACGAUUGAAAUUUAGUAUAUUUUUGUGAUAUAUGAUGGCGAUUUCUAUUUCCUAAACUCUGAAAAAAUGAUAUAUUUUUCACCAUGAUUUUCUUUGAAGAGUAAUUUUAAUAUUAUAGUUAUACUAACUAUAAGAGUUAGUUUUAAUGUAUAGGGGACAUUGCUCAAAUUAUAACUUGGGUACUGUAUCAGCACAGAUUUUCCUAAGCUAUCUUCCUGGAAAAUCUGCUCCAGAAGAAAAUGAAAAUAAGAUUUAAAAAAAAAUUAAGCCACUGAUCAUAACCUAGUCUUCUAAGAGCUUCCAUGAGUGCAUAUAAAAAUAACCAAUCAGACUGAGGCAAAAAUGAAACUCUCAAUCUACAAGGGCUUAUUGAGAACCUGCAAAUUGUUCAUCCUUACUUGAGACUCAACAGCCGAGAGUCGGUGUUUAUGGUUGUUGCUACCACCUGUAAGUAGUGUGCAACUCAAAUGAGUUAAUUUUAACAAGAGAAUAGGUCAUUAAGUUUAUUCCCAAACUAUCUCUUGAAACCAAAUUCUCAUUAUAUCAUUCUGCACACUUAAGUUCAUUUACUAAGUGCAAACUCUCUUGGUAGAAUUUAGUGUAUCCUGUAACAUAAUGAAGAAAAUUAGUUUGCCACGCAUGAUUUGAACCCCCAAAAUUAAGAUGUCAUACAUGAAAAUAAAUCCAGCUAGGAAUCAAAUUGCCAUUUCCUCUGGGAUGUUAGGCAACAAAGUAUGGAUGACUGGACUCUAAAACAUUUUUUUUUUUUUUAAAGUCAUGCUGAUUGCUUCAAGUUGUGAAUUAUUUGAAAUAUAGAAAACUCAACUUUAUCUCAAACAUCUGACAAUAAAAUCCAUCUAGACUAAAUACAAAAAAAUACAGAUUUUCAUUUGGUGAAUAUACUCAUCAGUGAACAGUGCUGCAUUUACUGUGUUCUAUGUAGAGCCCCUAAGAAAUUCUUACAAAAUCAUGAGGCAGGGGAUAGGGACAGCAGACCAUGAGAACAUGUCUGAAAUUUUCCUUGAAUUUAUGUAUUUUCUUCAAUUUUAAUUCUCUUUACUUUCUAAGUUAUUUCACUUACAAUCACUUUAUUUUCUUUCAGCCUCUUCAAAUUUUAAAUUUACCCUUUGCUAUUGUCACAAUUCAAUGCACCUUUUACAAAAUCCAAAAAAAUUUUUGUUCCCAUUGAUAAAUAUGAAUUAAAAGUG